UAGCUCAGCUGGAUAGAGUACCUGGCUUCGAACCAGGUGGUCGGGAGUUCGAAUCUCU
rnacentral:tRNA from 1 species